UUCUAAAACAGCUUUUUUAAAUCUUUAACUUCAGCCAUGGAGAACUGCAAAUAUGUUACUACUGCUCUCAAUAACAAUGCUUCCCUGAAUUUAUCAGGCGCUAUCUACAAAUGUCAGUCAGAAAAAGUUAUGAUGGAUGACGAUUGUGCCAUGCUGACUCUCUCUCACUCUGAAAAGAACACAUUUUGAAAUCAGUGGAACAUAACCGGCCAAACAAGCUGUGCAAACUAAACGGAAACAACACAGGAAGUCUUAUAAAAGGGUUGAAGCUUUCAUCCAUGUAUACAGGUAAGAAUCCAGCAACAGAUUCAGGUAUUAUGUUUAUUUUGUCAGAAAGUUGUUUUUAAUUGCAAGCUAAAGCUUGCUGUUAGCUAGCCAGCUGGAGUUCAAUGGCUGGCUUUCUAACUAACAAUGAACCUAACGUUAUUUGGUUAACUUUAGCUUGCUCUGACAAUCGGUUUGUAUUGCAAGUAACGUUACUGUAUGGACUGGGAUUAUAUUUCAUAUUUUAGCUAGCUAACGUUAAUGUGACAUGUCUAAACAAAAGACCCCAAGUUAAAGCUUGCUGUUAGCUGGCUAACGUCAGCUGGGGUUAGGUGGCCGGCUUGCUAGCUAACAUUAACUUGUGUAUGUAGUGUGUGUAACGUUAGUGUGGUUUUCUCAGAAUGCCAUUUCUCAUUCUAACUAGCUAAUAUUGAAACUAUUGGUUAACUUUAGCUGGCUAUGACAAUCGGUUUGUAUUGCUGAUGUUAGAUGGCUGGCUAGCUAGCUUUGUCUGAGAUUGACGGUUGGUUGGACUGGAGGAUGGUACGGUGCUGGUGGAAAGCUAUGGCUGGCAACAACACCGACUCCGUACUUCAGGCCACUGCCACAUACUGUAUCAAGCAGUACCAGCACUUCAGCUUCAAUGCUCUGGAGCCUGGUUUUGUCGCCAAGGAGCGUUCGGACUGCUGCGCAUUUUUCCUCCCAUAGAUGGUCUGCCUGUAAAAGCACCACCUGGACCGGCCAUAGACAAACUAUCUUUUUGACAAGAUCAUGGAGUUUAGCGACGAAGAGGCUAUGGACAUCACAUGCCCUGGACCAAAGUCAAGGGCAGGGCAGAAACAGGCUCUCUGAAUAUAGAUUCCCUUGUUCAUGCGUGGUUUGAACGGACCAGUCAUCAGCACUAUCUGUAGUGCCACUAUUCACAUGACUCUCUCCGAACACACACGCCAUACUUUGCUGCUACAAUUUAUUUAUCCUGCUGCUCAGCCACUUUACUCCUGAUUGUAUGCAUAUAACUACCUCGUCUAUCACUGAUAUCAUUAUUGAUAUUGUUCUUGUACAUACUGUAUAUGUUAUUUAUAUUGACACUAUCCAUUUCUGAUAUUGUUACUAUGCAAGUAACCAUUUGGCUGUAACAUUUACACCUUCUGUAGAGACCAUCCACUUAGCAACAUAUUGAUAUAUAAUUAAUAUUGAUGUGUGGUCGUAACAUGAUUUUGUGACAUACCACAACAAUAUAAUGUGACCGUAUCAAGUGUCCACCCUAUAUGGCGCAUGCAUCUGUUUAUGUACAGUACAUGUGCACCUCACUCAGGUUUCAACUCAGGUUGCAUGGCCUUAACUUAUGUAUGGAUUACUAUGUGAUAAGUGCAUGUGUAACAGUAUAUAAAGUAUGCUAAUGUACUGGUGUGAAGGCAUUUUGGCAGUGCUGUAAAGUACUUAAGUAAAAAUACUUGAAAGUACUACUUAAGUAGUUUGUGGUAUCUGUACAUUACUUUACUAUUUUAUAUUUUUGGCUACUUUUACUUCACUACAUUCGUAAAGAAAAAUGUACUUUUUACUUUAAUACAUUUUCCCUGACACCCAAAAGUACUUACUUUUUGACAGGAAAAUGGUCCAAUUCACACACUUAUCCAGAGAACAUCCCUGGUCAUCCCUACUGCCUCUGAUCUGGCCGAAUCACUAAACACAAAUGCUUCUUUUGUAAAUUAUGUCUGAGUGUUGGAGUGUGCCCCUGGCAAUUGUCAAUAAAAAAAAAACUUGAAAAAUA
ensembl:lncRNA